UAAAGGCAUGGUCCCGACCUUAUUAUCAGCUCCCACCCAACUUACACAUGCAAGUCUCCGCAGUCCCGUGAGUAUGCCCUUAAUCCCCCACCCGGGGACGAGGAGCGGGCAUCAGGCACAAAUUUUUAGCCCAAGACGCCUGGCCAAGCCACACCCCCAAGGGAAUUCAGCAGUGAUAAAUAUUAAGCCAUGAGUGAAAACUUGACUUAGUUAGAGUUAAUAAGGGCCGGUAAAACUCGUGCCAGCCACCGCGGUUAAACGAGGGGCCCUAGUUGAUAAAACCACGGCGUAAGGGGUGGUUAUGGAGAGCAAGACAAUUUUUUUAAAGCCGAAUGGCCCUUUGGCCGUCAUACGCUUCUAGGUGUCCGAAGCCCUAUCACACGAAAGUAGCUUUAAUAGAGUCCACCUGACCCCACGAAAGCUGAGAAACAAACUGGGAUUAGAUACCCCACUAUGCUCAGCCGUAAACCUAGACAUCCAAUUACAAUAAGAUGUCCGCCCGGGUACUACGAGCAUCAGCUUGAAACCCAAAGGACCUGACGGUGCCUCAGACCCCCCUAGAGGAGCCUGUUCUAGAACCGAUAACCCCCGUUAAACCUCACCACUUCUAGCCAUCCCAGCCUAUAUACCGCCGUCGUCAGCUUACCCUGUGAAGGUAAUAGAAGUAAGCGCAAUGGGCACAACCCAGAACGUCAGGUCGAGGUGUAGCGCACGAAGUGGGAAGAAAUGGGCUACAUUUUCUACCACAGAAUACUACGGACACGCAACAUGAAAUAGUGCUUGAAGGAGGAUUUAGUAGUAAAAAGGAAGCAGAGUGUCCUUUUGAACCCGGCUCUGAGGCGCGUACACACCGCCCGUCACUCUCCCCUGUCAAAACGCAAUAAAGAUAAUUAACACUAAAGCACUGACAAGGGGAGGCAAGUCGUAACAUGGUAAGUGUACCGGAAGGUGCACUUGGA
rnacentral:ncRNA from 1 species